GCAAUCGACCACAGGGUAUAGAAAACAGGGCUUCCCGUCCGCUCAGUCAUACUUAAGCUAUAGGCCGGCCGGUUAGUACCAAGGCGGGUGACCACUUGGGAAUCCUGGCUGUUGAUUGUU
rfam:Cladophialophora psammophila CBS 110553 aczJe-supercont1.9, whole genome shotgun sequence.